rnacentral:rRNA from 1 species
GGGAUAACCCACCGAAAGGUGAGCUAAUACCGGAUGAUGCAGCGGGGCCGCAUGGCCACAGUUGUUAAAUCCUUCGGGAGCCUAAUGAUGAACCUGCGUGCCAUUAGUUAGUUGGUAGGGUCAAAGCCUACCAAGGCAAUGAUGGCUAGGGGGUCUGAGAGGAUGAUCCCCCACACUGGGACUGAGACACGGCCCAGACUCCUACGGGAGGCAGCAGUGAGGAAUCUUGCGCAAUGGAGGAAACUCUGACGCAGCCACGCCGCGUGCUGGAAGACGGCCCUAUGGGUUGUAAACAGCUUUUACUAGGGAAGAACCUGGGCCUUUCGAGGACCACUGACGGUACCUAGUGAAUAAGCACCGGCUAACUCCGUGCCAGCAGCCGCGGUAAUACGGAGGGUGCAAGCGUUGUCCGGAAUCAUUGGGUGUAAAGGGUGUGCAGGCGGAAGUCUAAGUCGGAGGUGAAAUCUUGCCGCUUAACGGUAAAAGUGCCUUCGAAACUGGAUUUCUUGAGUU